UUCAAGUGGUGUCCGGUGAUGCUGGCAAGACUUGUAGGUUUACGUUUGUUUAUUAGCAUACUUUUUAUGUUUUUCAUCUUUGUUUGGUUGUACUUUUGAGUUUAUUCGGAAUGCAGGAUAAACAAAUUCAAACACAUAGCAACAUUUAUCCCGCAUUUUAAAUAGAUUUGAGAGUCGGGUGUGCUGCCAUCGAGCUGUCAGAUAUGUUUUGGUUAUGUGCAGGUCAGUAGUUGGACACGGGAUUCACUGAAGUCUAGCAUAUGUACAUAUUUGAAGCUACAUUUUAAAUGAUUAAUUAGAUAUUAUAAUGUACAACAUUAAUAUAUGCUUGCCCAAGCUUCAGCCGAGCUGUUUUAGUUAACAACGCUGGGAGCUGGUCGAAAAUGGUGUUAGCGAUAAAGGCACCACACAGCACUGCGGUUCGGUGACAGAAUGAACACCGACCACCAGGGAAUCAAAGUAAAACGUGUGACUUCACGGAAGAGGUCGAGAGACGGUCUGAGGAGUCAUCUUACACCUGCCAAGAAAAGAACUGGCAGCCCAGAGGAGCCGGAGGGUGGCCAUGCGGUGCUUAUGAUGGAGGAGAAGCUGGAGGGUGACUGUAGUGACCAAGAGGACCUGUUUGGGGACUAUGACAGCAUCCUCGGGGACCGCGCUUUCUUGGCCAAACUGGAGGAGGUGGAGUUUGGCAUGGGAUGUGAUAACAGAGUUGCAAGUGACCCAGGAUUUGACGGUGCUCCACAUAGCCCUGAGGAUGGUUACAUGGCCCUGAGGACAGGGGACAGCAAGGACUGCAGCAGUGCUGAUGUGGUGUCCUCUCUGAGGGACACAUUCAUGGACGAGCUCCCGAGCUCCCAGCUUGCGUUUCAGCAAGAGUUGCUGAAAAAAGGAGCGUGGAGCACAAAUAGCUCUGCUUCCCCACAAACAGGUGAUGCUACUGGGAGAACCACCAGAGGGCGCCCCACCUCCAGAAACAGAAAGGAUGAGAGGGAUGCUGAAGCCCAAGCUAAAAGUAGUGUGACUGACCGGUUAAAGAGCGCCAUGCGAGAGAACGCCACUGUGUCUUCCCUGGGCGUCUCCACCAGUGCUGCUCGGAAGGAGGCUGCCCUGACUAAGGAGAUAAGUGCAGCUAUGGAGGCCAGAGAGGCUGGGCCAGCAGGUAUUGACCUUGGUCCCUUCUAUGGCCUCCCCAGCAAAGUGAAGGAGCUGAUCAGCAAGCAGCGAGGGAUCAAGGACCUCUAUGAUUGGCAGAAGACGUGUCUGACCCUGGAAUCAGUACAGCAGCGUAGGAACCUCAUCUACUCACUGCCCACCAGCGGUGGGAAGACCCUGGUGGCGGAGAUCCUCAUCCUCAGAGAGCUGCUGUGCAGGAGCAUGAACGCUCUGCUCAUCCUGCCGUACAUCUCCCUUGUCCAGGAGAAGGUCCGAGGUCUGGCCAGCCUAGGCCUGGAGCUGGACUUCCUGGUGGAGGAAUACGCAGGUAGCAAAGGACGCUUCCCCCCAGUGAAGCGCAGGAAGAAGAAGUCCCUGUUUGUGGCCACCAUCGAGAAGGGCCACAGUCUGGUCAACUCGCUGGUGGAGGCAGGCCGCCUGCAGGGACUGGGGCUGGUGGUGGUGGACGAGCUCCAUAUGUUGGGGGAGGGCAAGCGCGGGGCCCUGCUGGAGAUGACUCUGGCCAAGGUGCUCUAUGUCAGCAGCUCAACACAGAUUAUUGGCAUGAGUGCAACUCUGAGCAACACGGAAGAUCUGCAGAAGUUCCUCAAAGCCGAUAACUUCACGAGCGAUUUCCGGCCUGUCCAGCUGAUGGAGUAUGUGAAGGUGAGGGACACCAUCUACGAGAUCCACCCGAAGGAGGAAGAGUGCUUCAAUUUCUCUCGCGUGUUGAACUUUAAGCCUCUCCAGUAUUCCAGCUCCAUGCAGAAGGUGGACCCUGACCACAUCAUAGCCCUGGUGGCAGAGGUCAUCCCUGCACACUCCUGCUUGGUCUUCUGUCCCAGCAAGAAGAACUGUGAGAACGUGGCAGAUAUGAUCUGUAAAUACUUGAAGAAGGGCUUCCUGAAGCACAGGGAGGAGGAGAAGGCGCGGCUCCUGCAGGAGCUGAGAGAGAGCGGGGCGGGGGCUCUGUGCCCGGUGCUGUGCCGUACGGUGCCCUUCGGCCUGGCCUACCACCACGGCGGACUGACUGGCGAGGAGCGCCGGCUGCUGGAGGAGGCCUAUUCAGCCGGCACGCUCUGCCUGCUCACCUGCACCUCCACACUGGCCGCCGGGAUCAACCUGCCAGCCCGCAGGGUGAUCCUUCGCUCACCCUAUGUGGCGACGGACUUCCUCAAGAGGAGCCAGUACAAGCAGAUGGUGGGCCGGGCAGGACGGGCAGGCAUCGACAGCCUGGGGGAGAGCAUCCUCAUCCUGCAGGAGAAAGACAGGCUCUCUGCCAAGCAGCUGCUGUCCUCCCCUUUGGAGAGCUGCUACAGCCACCUGAUGGAUGCCAAUGGCCAAGGCAUCCACAGCCUCAUCCUGUCGCUCGUCGGGUUAAAGAUUACGAGGACACUGGAGCAGAUCAGGGACUUUGUGUCAGGCACCCUGUUGGGUGUGCAGCAGAGUCACAGCUGCCAGGAGAAGAGCCUGUGGGAGAUCGUCCAGGACUCCGUGGAGUUCCUCAGACACAAAGGACUCAUCAGCGUCUCCACGGACUGCGAGAACAACACAGUGCUCCUGGUGACCAACCUGGGCAGAGCCACCUAUAAAGGCUCCAUAGAUCUGACCUACUGUGACGUCCUCUACCGUGACCUCUCAAAAGGCCUGGAUGGUCUAAUGCUCAGCAGCCUCCUGCACCUGGUCUACCUGGUCACUCCGUACGACUUGGUCUCCCAGUGCAAACCUGACUGGAUGGUCUACUUUCGACAGCUCACGUCCAUGACCGCCACUGAACUGAAGAUGGCGUCGGUCUUGGGGGUCCCGGAAAGCUUCGUGGCCAGGAAGGCGGCAGGGCAAAGCGUGAGGAAGCCAGCAGACCCCGAGGUGGUGGGCCGGCUCUACCUGGCGCUGGUCCUCCUGUCCAUGCUGAAGGAGACCGACCUGUGGGCCGUGGCCGACCGCUUCCGGCUGACCCGUGGCUUCGUCCAAAGCCUGCUGAGCUCAGCCUCGGCCUUCUGCUCCUGCGUACUGCACUUCACUGAGGAGCUGGGGGAGCUCUGGGCCUACAAGGCCCUGCUGACGGAGCUGAUGCGGCGGCUCACCUACUGCGUUAAGGCGGAGCUGAUCCCGCUGAUGGAGGUGGCUGGAGUGCAGGAGGCCAGAGCUAAGCAGCUGCAUGGUGCUGGUUACAAGACAUUGUGUCACCUCGCAAACGCAGAUCCUUCACUCCUGGUCCAGACUGUGCCGAACCUCUCCAAGAGGCAAGCCAAUCAGAUUGUGGCCUCUGCCAAGGGUUACAGCUGACAAAUGGCCCCUCCCCCGGGUCCUGGUUGGUAUUGCAGUUUUUCAACAUCACCCCCCCCCACCAUCUACCUUCCGGGAUUCUUCAACCAGCCCACAGGGGGUCGUUUCUCUGGCUCUGUUAAUGUGAUAGCAGCACUAUGCUGCUGAUGGAGAAGGCGGAGUCUCUACAGGAAGAAGUCAAUGAACUUUUGAGCCUGCCUGCCGACCUCCCCUCCUCCUAAAUGUGUCUUUUUAGCCUCAGAUAUGUGUUCACCACUAACC